GCCCAGACUCCUACGGGAGGCAGCAGUGAGGAAUAUUGGUCAAUGGGCUUACGCCUGAACCAGCCAAGUCGCGUGAGGGAAGACUGCCCUAUGGGUUGUAAACCUCUUUUGUCAGGGAGCAAUUGGCGCUACGUGUAGCGUUAUCGAGAGUACCUGAAGAAAAAGCAUCGGCUAACUCCGUGCCAGCAGCCGCGGUAAUACGGAGGAUGCGAGCGUUAUCCGGAUUUAUUGGGUUUAAAGGGUGCGUAGGAGGAGUGUGAGGUCGGGGGAAAAAGCCCGGGGCUAAACCCCGGGGAGCCGUUGAAACUGGCUGUCUUGAGAUGUCGAGAGGUAUGCGGAAUGCGCAGUGUAGCGGUGAAAUGCUUAGAUAUUGCGCAGAACUCCGAUUGCGAAGGCAGCAUACCGGCGGCGAUCUGACGCUGAGGCACGAAAGCGUGGGUAUCGAACAGGAUUAGAUACCCCAGUAGC
rnacentral:rRNA from 1 species